UCAGAAUUAGAGUUUUGUCUGGGUAAAUGCCGAGGAGUGGGAUUGCUGGAUCAUGUGGCAGCUCUGUUUUUAGUUCGGAGACCAUAUGCCUUUUCACCUUGCACUCAGUACAGUUCCUCCCACAUAACAGACCUAAAAUAGUCUUUGUUGAUUGAUCGAAUGAAUGAAUAUGUGACUAAAUGAAUAAACACUGCCAGUGACCAAAAGAAUUGUUGAUGAUGCCGACGCAUACAGCGAAAGAAUGGAGUUUCCCACGGUGGCUUUUAGCCCCAGCUGUAAGUCAGUCUACCAGUUCCCCACUCGGAACAACAGCUAAAUAUGACGACAGGAACGUGGAUUUUAGGGACUCGUGUGGUUCGGCAGUAUAUAGUGUUGCUGCGGGAAACAAGGAUUUGUAUGAACAUCGCAGAAGAGGGCAUACAAUGAAAGAGGGCACUCCACUUAGCUCACAAUUAAUCGUAUCAUCUGAGGUUUCAUUCUGGCUCUGGAAACAAUGGGAACCAUAAUUACAUGUCUAAAGCCCAAAAUGGAAUCCCACAAGUGUUUGACAAGGAGAACAGAAGGAUGAUGGAGUGUUUUACCCAUCAGCCUGACCACAGGGCAACCCUGGUGAGUCACGCUUUCAGGCCGCGGUAGGAUUUCUCAUUACCCUCCAUUCUUCUCCCUGAGUAUAUUGAGCUCAUAGCUAUUUGAUGGAUGUGACUCUGUUUGUGAAUCCAGGCUGGCCUGCUGUCUUCCUGGAUCUGACCCCUAUAUAGAAUAGCCAUGUAAAUUAGCAUGGGCCUUGGGCCAGGAAAAAUUAAUCCAGGCCUCAAUGCAAUCAAGUAAAAGGUGUCAAAGGGCAAACAAAGAGGGAAGUGUGACUGGGGCCAGGGAUGCCCUCUUUUACAGGUUUCGCUACUUACCACCUGGUGAUCAUUUUUCGUUUCUGUUUUUGUCACUAGAAAAGUCGCAAAAUGUAAGAGGAGCUGAUGGAAGUCUUUCCAAAUCUGUAUGGGAUGAGAAAAGAGUUCUUGCUGAAAGUGGGAUUAAGGCAUUCGGGGAGGGCUUCCCUGGCAUCAGGUCUGAGUGGGCCUACAGGCCGGGACCCCUCGCCUUGACCUCAGCACCCAGACCAUGCCUGGACAGCGCUCGCCACACUGGGUUGUUUAUUCACGUGUUUCGUGGUGUUCGUCUGUCUCCCCCGUUGGACUGAGUUCCCAGGAGGCUGAGAAUCACGUCUGUCUUGCCCACCUCUGACUCCAGUAAGUGGCACAGGCGUUGCAGGAAUGCACAGAGAUGCCAGAUGCUACCCAGCCUCCCUCUAACGAGAGCAGGCUCCAGGGUUGGCCAUGCCCACGGUUCGCUGUGCGCCUGUCCUUCACAGAACCCCCUGCUGGCUGGCAGCUCUCACGUCCUGCUUGGGCGUGGGAUGCCUUGAACACUCAUCAGGUUUUCUUCUAGCUGCCCUGGCGAGCUGCCUGGUGAAACACCACCCAGAGAAACGGAGACAGAACACUCUCCCCGCGGGAGUGACCGACCCAGGCUGGGGACGGGAAAUUGUCAGAGCUUGGAGGCCACAGAGGAAUUGGACGACUAAGAAUCAAUCUUAAGGAGAAAAUUGUCUAAGAGCAACAUAUACAUCCACGAAAGAUGUAUUCAUUCAAAAAACAUUUCCUGAGGACCUGCUGUAUGCUAGGUAAUAAACAAGAUAGACCAGGUUACCUGAUUUACGCACACGUCGUGACCAAGAGAAGGUAGACCGUGAACAAACGUGUAAGGAAUAGAGCAUUAAGUUGCCAUAAAGACUCUGAAGAAAAUAAACAGAUUUAUGUGACAGUGAUUUUGGGGGGGGGUGGGUGCUUUAGAUAGGGCAGUAAGGAAAAAUUCUCUCAAGCACUAUUUAUAAUAGCCAACAAAUCAGAAAAACUAAGCAUCCAGGCAACACCCCUGCUAAGGCGGAGAAUCCAUCUGGCCAGAUGUCACCAUGUGCCAGUUUAUUAUAGACCGCAAGAGACUUUCUCAGAACGAACUCCCUUAAUUCAGUGUGUCUUCUGUAGAGUAUUUUCCUGGAGGGCAAAAGUUUCCAACAUUUGGGGGUAGAAAAUAAUUUAGCAGGGGCGCACGCCAAUGCUGCUUUAUUCCGAGAAGGAAUGUGUGGAUGACAGUUUCAAGUGUUUGGUGUCCAACCCCUCCUAAAACUGUAAACUAACAGCCAGACAGGGAAGAGGCUGAUCUAAAUCUUCUUUCUGUGGUUUUACGUUUGUUCUGGCAGGCUGAGCAACACGAAAAAAAUUACAGUGCGUGCAUGGGAAACAUUCUCCCCCUUUUUCUUGAGUAACUGACAUGUUGGAGGGCCGGCGUGAGUUAGGGGCGAUGGCGUUGCUGUGAUACAUGGACAGUCGAAAUAGCAUCAAGGGCCCGGCCUAUCCUGAGCCCAGGCAGGAAAUUCAAGGGUAAUAUAACACUUCACCGUUAAGUAAUGCCAUUGGAAUAAAACCAUGUUUGGGAUGACUUUUGGCUUUCACUUGGAAUUUCUGUUUCAUUUGCUUCCAGAAAGAACUUUCCCCCUUAAAGUUCUUAACUUGCAUUUCAAAAGUUUUUGUAGCUUUAUAAAUAGGAUGUAUACGAACUGGCCUUGAAUUAAAGCUGUAUGUCGUAGAACAUGCUGAAAAACAAAUCCAGUCCAGGACCUCCGUUUUCACUAUGGGCUCCAGGGCAGCAGCUUCAGGAAAUGGAA